rnacentral:tRNA from 1 species
GCCGAAGUGGUGAAAUUGGCAAACACGCAGCACUCAAAAUGCUGUGGGAGUAAUCCCUUGUGGGUUCAAGUCCCACCUUCGGCA